rnacentral:rRNA from 1 species
UACGGAGGGAGCUAGCGUUGUUCGGAAUUACUGGGCGUAAAGGGCUGGUAGGCGGCCAACUAAGUCGGAUGUGAAAUCCCCAGGCUUAACCUGGGAACUGCAUCCGAUACUGGUCGGCUUGAAUCCGGGAGAGGGAUGCAGAAUUCCAGGUGUAGCGGUGAAAUGCGUAGAUAUCUGGAGGAAUACCGGUGGCGAAGGCGGCAUCCUGGACCGGCAUUGACGCUGAACAGCGGAAAGCUAGGGGAGCAAACGGG